rnacentral:rRNA from 1 species
GACGAACGCUGGCGGCGUGCUUAACACAUGCAAGUCGAACGAUGAAGCCCAGCUUGCUGGGUGGAUUAGUGGCGAACGGGUGAGUAACACGUGAGUAACCUGCCCUUGACUCUGGGAUAAGCGCUGGAAACGGCGUCUAAUACCGGAUACGACCUGCCCCGGCAUCGGGUGCGGGUGGAAAGUUUUUCGGUCAAGGAUGGACUCGCGGCCUAUCAGCUAGUUGGUGAGGUAAUGGCUCACCAAGGCGACGACGGGUAGCCGGCCUGAGAGGGUGACCGGCCACACUGGGACUGAGACACGGCCCAGACUCCUACGGGAGGCAGCAGUGGGGAAUAUUGCACAAUGGGCGAAAGCCUGAUGCAGCAACGCCGCGUGGGGGAUGACGGCCUUCGGGUUGUAAACCUCUUUUAGUAGGGAAGAAGGGCUUCGGCUUGACGGUACCUGCAGAAAAAGCACCGGCUAACUACGUGCCAGCAGCCGCCGCGG